UUCGAGUUGGAUAACCUUAUAACCAAUACCACCAAUACUCAAUGGACGUUGGAGUAAACGAGUACAAAAAUAAAUAAUUAAUACCAAGUAAAUUAAUUAACCAGUUUUAAUAAUUGAAUUAUACGUAAUGAAAUUGUAAUAACAUAACCAAACAAAAUAAUAACUCGUAUUUAAGAUUACUGAAAUUCUUGGAUAAGGAAAUUUGGACUCUUCAAAAGGAAUCGGUAAUAAUGAUUCUUGAUUGGAAUAAUUCUUCGGAAUGGUAUACUGGAUUAAUUGGAUCAGGAACCACUUAAUUUUCUUGUUUAUUAUUAAAGAUUUCGACGUGCAGCUUCAAAAAUAUAUUCAAAUAUUUAAUCUACGAAUUUUCAUCAAAACUCCCAUAUGAUGGAUGGUUUUUGGUCUUGACAUGCUAAGAUUAUCGUUUUUAAUAGUUUUAACCGGACAAACAUGAAUUAUAAUAAGAAAUUAACAAAAAAUGAAAUUUGAGGUUACGUCACUGUCAAAAUUGUAUAAAAUUACUUCGUAUUGACUUUAUUUGGAUUAAAUACAAUAAAAAAACGUAAAGGUCAAUAAUA